CGGAAGCGGCGCGCGGCGAACCGCAGGGCGGGUCAGGAAGGUAGUCCGGGAUAGGAAGCAAGCCGGCAGAGGGAGGAAUUCUGUGAUGCGGGGAGACCAUAGAAAGCCCCAGAAAGAUUCUCGAGUUCCAGCGUGACCCCAUAAAAGCAAAAGGAUGAAGGUAUCUACAAGCAAGACACUGACACUGAGAAGAGAACCUUCAAAUCUGAGGGCGCCCUGUGUAUAGGGAUGAAGUGUGGGUGCCUACAUCUUCUCCAAAACUCAUAUUAUGAGGGUUCCCCCAGAAUUUAACCACAAACCAGGAGCAAAGGGGGAGGACCUGAAUUUACUGUGAUUUUUCACCUCAUAUACUGGGAAUUCAAAUUUUAAAAAUCUGAGUGGAAUAAAAAUAUACUGUGUUGCUUUAUCACA